GACGUACGCUGGCGGCGUGCCUAAUACAUGCCAGUCGAACGAGAGCGACCGGUGCUUGCACUGGUCAAUCUAGUGGCGAACGGGUGAGUAACACGUGGGUAACCUGCCCAUCAGAGGGGGAUAACAUUCGGAAACGGAUGCUAAAACCGCAUAGGUCUUCGAACCGCAUGGUUUGAAGAGGAAAAGAGGCGCAAGCUUCUGCUGAUGGAUGGACCCGCGGUGCAUUAGCUAGUUGGUGAGGUAACGGCUCACCAAGGCCGUGAUGCAUAGCCGACCUGAGAGGGUGAUCGGCCACAUUGGGACUGAGACACGGCCCAAACUCCUACGGGAGGCAGCAGUAGGGAAUCUUCCGCAAUGGACGCAAGUCUGACGGAGCAACGCCGCGUGAGUGAAGAAGGUUUUCGGAUCGUAAAACUCUGUUGUUAGAGAAGAACAAGUGCUAGAGUAACUGUUAGCGCCUUGACGGUAUCUAACCAGAAAGCCACGGCUAACUACGUG
rnacentral:rRNA from 1 species